UACGUAGGGUGCAAGCGUUGUCCGGAAUUAUUGGGCGUAAAGAGCUCGUAGGCGGUUUGUCGCGUCUGCUGUGAAAACCCGAGGCUCAACCUCGGGCCUGCAGUGGGUACGGGCAGACUAGAGUGCGGUAGGGGAGAUUGGAAUUCCUGGUGUAGCGGUGGAAUGCGCAGAUAUCAGGAGGAACACCGAUGGCGAAGCAGAUCUCUGGGCCGUAACUGACGCUGAGGAGCGAAAGCGUGGGGAGCGAACAGG
rnacentral:rRNA from 1 species